rnacentral:rRNA from 1 species
CCUACGGGUGGCAGCAGUGAGGAAUAUUGGUCAAUGGACGAGAGUCUGAACCAGCCAAGUAGCGUGAAGGAUGACUGCCCUAUGGGUUGUAAACUUCUUUUAUAUGGGAAUAAAAUGUGCCACGUGUGGGAUUUUGUAUGUACCAUAUGAAUAAGGAUCGGCUAACUCCGUGCCAGCAGCCGCGGUAAUACGGAGGAUCCGAGCGUUAUCCGGAUUUAUUGGGUUUCAAGGGAGCGUAGGUGGAUUGUUAAGUCCGUUGUGAACGUGUGCGGCUCAACCGUCAAAUUGCAGUUGAAACGGGCCGUCUUGCGUCCCGUAGCGGUGCGCGUCAUUCGUGGUGUCGCCCUUGUUCAGAUACCCUGGUAGUC